CAGGUCACUCCUACGGGAGGCAGCAGGCGAACUACAAACUGUUAUUUACGGAUUCCUAGGUUUUCGGAUAGACUCAAAACCAGAGGCGGGGGCGAGUUGGUCCCUGAAACUUAAAGGAAUUGACGGACUCCUACGGGAGGCAGCAGUGGGGAAUAUUGGACAAUGGGGGCAACCCUGAUCCAGCAAUGCCGCGUGAGUGAUGAAGGCCUUAGGGUUGUAAAGCUCUUUCGGCGGGGACGAUGAUGACGGUACCCGCAGAAGAAGCCCCGGCUAACUUCGUGCCAGCAGCCGCGGUAAUACGAAGGGGGCGAGCGUUGUUCGGAAUUAUUGGGCGUAAAGGGCGCGUAGGCGGUGCGGUAAGUCUGUAGUGAAAUCUCUGGGCUCAACUCAGAGUCUGCUAUAGAAACUGCCGUGCUUGAGUGUGGGAGAGGUGAGUGGAAUUCCGGGUGUAGCGGUGGAAUGCGUAGAGAUCCGGAAGAACACCGGUGGCGAAGGCGGCCCGCUGGGCAGGAAGACGGAGCAAUCCGUCGGCUGACGCUGAGGCGCGACAGCGUGGGGAGCAAACAGGAUUAGAUACCCUGGUAGUCCACGCCGUAAACGAUGGGCGCUAGGUGUG
rnacentral:rRNA from 1 species